rnacentral:lncRNA from 1 species
UUUCUAUUUCUAGCCAUCCAAAUGUGAUAAACAGUCGAAGAAAGUGUAAUGUGCAUAGCUUUGCCAAGAUGUGCCUCGACUUUCCUUUUUAAUCCAUUUCAUUGCACUAAGAAGUGUAGACAUUGACUUUCGAAUACCCAACCAAGCAUGGAUAAUUUCCCAGACUGAAUGUGUGAACGAGCAGCUGAAGAACAGGUUGUCUGACGUCUCAUCCAAAUGUUCACAGAAAUAGCAUUUUCGGUCGAUCUGAAGAUAAUCCAAUCUGUCUUUAGUUUGUAGUUUAGAGUUAGCUGCCAACCACAUGAUAAAACUGUGUUUUGGUGUCACAACAGCAUUCCAAACAGAGCUGGCCCAAGUUACCUUAGUACCCCCUCAGCCUAAAAAUUUCAUAUGAAGCUGAGAUUCUGAAUCUGCCAUAAAUCCAGUUGGAGUGUGCCAACAGCAUGUUCAACAGUGAGUUCGGCCCUCACAAUGCUGUCCCUAACAUUCAGCAAUUUUUUAAGUAAAGGAGAGUCCUCUUUCCUCGGCAUAUGAAUCCAAAUAUUACUCUUCCGAAGGUAUACCUGAUUUACCCAUUUAAUCCACAGUGUCCUUCUUACAAUGUAUGUCUACUUACAUCUAUUUUUUGUUUGUAUUAAAUUUGGUGCACUCUCUCUCUAGAAUCUUUCAGGGAAGAUUCAAGUGAUUUCUUACCCCACCGACUGUAAACGAGUCUAUUAUACAUGAAACUUACAGGUACGAACCUAAAUCUUAAAUUUAAGUUUAAUAAAAUAUUUGAAAAUUUUUGCUUCUAGCUUUUCGGUUCGUUACCAGCAAUAUGCUCGAACAAUUGGAUCUUGUCACAUAUAUUCCGAAGCUUUGUGCCACCAAUUGGACUUUGGGGUGCAUUCCAGCAAAGUGAGGAUGCUUUUCUUAAAGUCAGUGUCUCGACUAGAUGUGCAUACUCAAUGUAGCUAUUCUUGUCUUGCGUGCAAAAUUGUCAUCAAGGAGAUGCUAAAGGUCUUCAAAGAGGCCGAAUGGGAACCAAGCCUCUGCCGGAGGUCAAUUCCGGCUGAAUUUUCAGACCAUUCACCACGCACUCUGAGUUGGUUUCUAGUUGGCAAUCGACACAAGUAACAUACUUUGAAUUUUGCAUGGAAUUUGUUGGGAUUUAACUGUAACAAUCAUAUCCACUGUUCACAGAUUUUAAUGGCUCGACUAGGUGCAAUUUACAAAGUAAUCUUAAUCGAUCCAAAGGCAGACAGAAAACAAACGCUAAAACAUCCUACACCAUUAGACAAGAGCCUUAGUAAGUCGAGGUGGAACUCAAGAUGUAAUAAGCUUCGGGCAUAUAAUAAAACAUCAUGAAAAGCGCACCUAAAGGUUUAAGCCUCAAACCAAAAUUAAAAACAAUGGUUCGAACACAAUGAAAAAUACAAGUACUAGG